AAUAAACGUUGGCGGCGUGGAUUAGGCAUGCAAGUCGAGCGAGAUCGGUUCCCUCACUUUGUGCUCUUUGGUGUGAAGAGUAUGAAGUGAGGGGACCGUGAAAGCGGCGAAAGGGAGAGUAACGCGUAGUUACGUACCCCGAGGACCGGAAUAGCCACGGGAAACUGUGGGUAAUGCCGGAUAAUAUCUUCGGAUCAAAGGUGUGAUUCCGCCUUGGGAGCGGACUGCGUUGUACUAGCUUGUUGGUAGGGUAAUGGCCUACCAAGGCGAUGAUGCAUAGCGGGUGUGAGAGCAUGACCCGUCUCACUGGGACUGAGACACUGCCCAGACACCUACGGGUGGCAG
rnacentral:rRNA from 1 species